UGCCAGCCGCCGCGGUAAUACGAAGGGUGCUAGCGUUGUUCGGAAUUACUGGGCGCAAAGAGCAUAUAGGCGGAUUGGAAAGUUGGGGGUGAAAUCCCGGGGCUCAACCCCGGAACUGCCUUCAAAACUCCCAGUCUAGAGUUCGAGAGAGGUGAGUGGAAUUCCGAGUGUAGAGGUGAAAUUCGUAGAUAUUCGGAAGAACACCAGUGGCGAAGGCGGCUCACUGGCUCGAUACUGACGCUGAGGUGCGAAAGUGUGGGGAGCAAACAGGAUUAGAUA
rnacentral:rRNA from 1 species